rnacentral:rRNA from 1 species
GACGAACGCUGGCGGCGUGCUUAACACAUGCAAGUCGAACGGGCUGCCUGGUUUUCGGAUCGGGUGGUGAGUGGCGAACGGGUGAGUAACACGUGAGUAACCUGCCCCUCUCUUUGGGAUAACGUCGGGAAAUCGGCGCUAAUACCGGGUAUUCUGGCUUCCUCGCAUGGGGUUGUUGGGAAAGGUUUUUUCUGGUGGGGGAUGGGCUCGCGGCCUAUCAGCUUGUUGGUGGGGUGAUGGCCUACCAAGGCGGUGACGGGUAGCCGGCCUGAGAGGGUGCCCGGCCACACUGGGACUGAGACACGGCCCAGACUCCUACGGGAGGCAGCAGUGGGGAAUAUUGCACAAUGGGCGGAAGCCUGAUGCAGCGACGCCGCGUGGGGGAUGACGGCCUUCGGGUUGUAAACCUCUUUCAGUGCAGAACAAGGCUCUUUGUGGGUUGAGGGUAUGCGCAGAAGAAGCGCCGGCUAACUACGUG